rnacentral:lncRNA from 1 species
UUUUUUUUUUUUUUUUUUUUUUUUUUUUUUUUUUUUGUGCAGGUGGUAAGAAUUUGAGGCAGCUGCUUUCAGGACUCCCUGGCUUGUAUAAUUUCACCCUAUGGUUGAGCAGGAAAUACUUUUAAAAUGCUGCCCGCUCAAACAUCACACUUAGGCUCUGAAACCACAGUGACAUUUGCUGAAAAAAAAAAAAAAAAAGAAUAUGUCUUUUUAUGUCAAAACUGAGAAGAAAAAAAAUAAGUGUUUAUUCUGAUCACUGUGACCUUAACAAAACCUAAGUAAGGAAGGCUUGCCGGUCAGGGUGUGCCCAAGGGAGUUCCUUGGGGCCCCGUGAGCCCCACUUGUCCAAUGAUACUAAAGGAGUCUCAGUACAAACCCCAGGGUGAUGAAGAGACUUUGACUCUCACCCCAGACAUCACACACAGGGCAAAGCCCCUGCUCCAGCACGGGCCUGGGAGAGGAAAGCGUGGCUGGGACUUCAGCUGCCUCAAGGCAGCUGUGCUGAAGUCUUAAGAGCAAAUGCCUGGCCCCAGGAGGUCAAAGUUUGUAUCCCACCUCCUCCUGCUGCUAGCUGCCGGAUACUAGCCAAGUUCCUUAGCUGUGCUAUGCCUCAAUUUACUCCUAUGAAAAUGGGGAUAGAAGUAGUAGUGAUCUCGGGGUUGCUAUGAGAAUGUGAUGAGUUCAUAUGGAGAAAGCGCUCAGAGUCUCUGCAGGAUUUCAACAGAAAUUAAGCCAUUAUUAUUAUUAUUAUUAUUAUUAUUAUUAUUAUUAUCAUUAUCUCACAGGUCAGGAAAGUGCAAGGAGAGCUAUUUCUACCGGGCCACAGGAAGACGGUCGGUUGGGCACGCUCAUUCUGCCCCGCUAACUCCCUCAUCUCCUUCAAAACGCUUUGUUCAGGGAGGCCUACCUUAUUCUGUUUCAUGUUAUAGCUCACUCCUCCUUCCCAAUCCCCCUCACUGGACUCUACUUUUUCUUUUGUUCGUUGUGUCUAUCACCUUAUAACAUGUUACAGAAUUUAUUUAUAUUUUUUAAGAAACUGUAUCUCACUGGGUGUUAUGCUAUGUUGACAAAUGGAACUCCAAUAAAAAAUGAAAAAAUUUUUAAAAAUUUUAAAAAGAGAGAAAAAAAAAAAAGAAACUGUAUCUCUCUCCCACCACCUCUUACUCCGAGGCCAUAACAUCAGCUCCAUAGGAACACGGGCUUUGGGCAGCCCGGGAGAAGCUGCAUGGAGCCUGCUUCUCCCUCUGCCUAUGUCUCUGCCUCUCUCUCUUUGUGUGUCUCUCAUGAAUAAAUAAAUAAAAUCUUAAAAAAAACAAAAAGGAACACAAAUUUGUUCUGCACACUGGUAUCAUUCAAGAUCCUAAGACAGUGCCUGGCAUGAAGUGUGUACCCAGUAAAUAUAUGAAUGGAUUCACUCAGCAAAUUGAUGCUGUGUUGAUAAGAUGGGUUAGACAAAAAAAAAAACACAAAAAAAACCACGCACACACACACACACACACACACACACACACACACAAAAAAGAUGGGUUAGACACUGUGCAGCAAGAAAGAAAGUAAUCGGUAGGCUUACCCAAGGAUGAAAGAGGCUCCCUCUGGAAGAAGUGUACUCCCUAGUGACGAGAAGUACCCACAAUAUAGGUGAUGCCAGCUUGGCGGGGAAGCCAGAAAAGAGUACUCAAAGACCAGAAGGGAGGUUUAAAGAGGUUAGUCUCUUCUAAACCUAAGAGUUGCAAAUUGUGUAACCUGAAUUUUCUUAAAAUGAGAAGUGGCAAACAUUUGGUGUAAAUCAGAGCUUCUGUCUAAUAACUAUUACUAUCAAUGUCUUAUACUUGUCAGCACCCACCUUUUAACCAAAAUUCUAUCUAAACACCAAUGGAACAUUGCCUUUUCUGAGGAAACAGAAUCUUGCUAGGAGAAACCAAUACAGAUUAUUCUAUUUAAAUAGAAUAAUUCAUUUGUGGAAAUGUAAAUUCUAGGUCUUUGGAAGACAUCGCACAGCUUGCUGUGGCCACAGCCUCUGGAAUGGAAGUUGGCCGAAUCAAGGUCCCUGCUGAAAAGGCAGGCCUUAGGCAGCCCCUUUAAGGUCAAGGGAGGUACCUAAACUGAAUGCAGCAAAACUCUGUGACAAACUUGUGUGACAAACUCUGGCCCAGAAAAGGUACACUGAGCCAAUCAGAUUCCAUUUCAGGAAUGCAAACACACAGAGAUGCACAAAUGAAUGCACAUGCGCACACACACACACACACACACACACACACACACAGAGCUAGUAUCCAGACCAGUAGCUGAGAGGGCAUGACUUUACCUAAACCCUAGAUUCUAGAAGCUGCAUCAUCUGUGAACCAGCUAAAUGGGUAUUAGAUGUGCCAUAGGCAAGUGGCAUCGAGACAGGGAGAAGCAGAGGCCCUCCCUGGGCUGCCUUGGGAUCAAAACCACCAUCCAGUUUCUCCUCAUCCAGAGGUGUAUUUUUCUUCUUUUCCUUUGUUCUCAUAACAAUGCCUGCCCACCCCAUCUUCAUAAUUCGUUCCUGUCCCCAAAAGUCUAACCAGACCAAGUUCAGAAAGGGUGAUGUGACUUGUCCAGAGUUAUACACAAGGUAAAAGAAGGCUAAGGCAGGGUUCCCCUAUUCCAAUUCAGCCCUCUUGUGCUACACCAUAGGAUUAACCGUGUCUGUCUCUGAAUAAUAAUUAAAAUCACUGGAAUUUACAAAAUCAGAGCAUUUAAUGCCUCAAGGAUCUGUAGAAUACAAUGGGUGUAAAAUAAAUAUGUGCUAAUUUGAGCAUUCUAGUUUGGACCUCCUGCCAUAAUACUUCAAUGUCUCAAACAAUGUCUUAAAGGCAUUCCGAUGAAGAAAAGCAUCAUCGCCUUUCAUACGUUUUUCUCCUUUUUACAGAUGGAAAAAUAGAGGUCCUGAAAAUCCAAGAUCCUUUGCUAAUAAUGCCUGGCACAGAGUUUGUGAGGAGCACAGGUUGGUAGGUUGCCCAGGCUUGUGUAGCAUUAGAACAUACAGUUUUUCAGGUUCUCAGAGCUCUGGCCAUAAAAUAAGUUAAUGUAGUUACUCAUGAUAAAUACCAAUCUAGAUACAGAACUUGCGUAAGCACUCAGUAUACAUCCACAGCACCACGCCAUCCAUAAAAACAGGACCAUUUGAGAAAUAAGCUCAGCAUCUGAUCUAACACCAGGAUAUAAAAUCAGUGACCUUUGGUACAGCAGGAAGACUUCACACACAAAUGGGAAAAAGGCUUGCCUUCCUUCUGUCCUCCUUUUAAAACUUCCACUUGCACUGAGUGCAAAAACUGAAGAACCUGAAGUUUGUUCUUUGAAGAAUUUUGGAUGAUACAAACAAAAAUUUGUUUUUGUCCUCACCAUCCUUUCCUUAGGAAAAAUGGAGUAUUUCUGGUGUGUUGGUUGUUAGUCACUUUUUUUUUUCUUUUUGUCUUUCGGUAGGGGGAAGGAUCUGGCUUCUACUUGAAAGAGGCUGGUAGUUUUUUUGAGUUUGUAAUUUGAGAAUGAGUUGAAUGAGAAAAUCUUAAAAGUGAAAAAGAAUUUAGCAAUCCUACACGAAUUUACCCCGGACAGUCCAGAUUUCAACUAUUCCUCCCCACAAUUCCAAGUCAGUCCACUAGUUGACUGGCCACCUACUGGUAUCAAGUACUAGGGAUGCCGGUGAACAAGACAAAGUCUCUACCAGCAAAGGGCAGCAAUCAAACAAUAAACAUGCAAAUGAACACACAAUGGAGAUCAUUUCAAUACUGGCCUUUGCCAUGAGAAGGAUACAGGGUGUUGGAGUGACCGCAGGGAAGAGAAAUGCUUGAUUCAGGGUAAUCCGGGAUGGUCUCAGCCAGGGUAGCCUUGGCACUGAGAUUUAAAUGGGAUUUAAAUGAUGAAAAGAAGAAUCCAUUGGAACAGAAGGAUGUUCCAAAUGAAAGACAUGACCAAUACAGGGGCCUUGAGUGAAGAAGAAGCUUGGUAAGGGAGAGGGAUGAGAGGAAAACCAUUAUGGUGGAAGAAUAGAAAACAUGUGGAUAGGGGCACAAGAGGAGGUUCAAGAAAUAGAUUGGGGUGAGAUCACAUAGGAAGUCAGGGUAAGCGUUUGGCCACAGUGGGAGGUCAUCAGAGGGUUUUAGAGAGGAAGUACCAUGAUCCAAGUUCUGCAUUAGAAACAUCCCUCUGGCUGGCGGGUGGCAGGUGACCUAGAAAAAGGGCAAGAGUGAGAGCAGUCCUUUUGAAGAGGUGGCCUUAGGAGACCAAAGAAGAGAUGAUAAUACUUGGAUUAGGUGUAGAGCAAUUAUAUUUGUCAAAUAUGGAAUUGUAUAUGAUGAAACUUUCUGAUGGCUUAGCCGUGUGAGGAAGGAUAGGCAUCAUGGGUGAGGCUUCAGUUUUUUGUUUUGUCCAAGCAAUGGGAUGGAUGGUGGUGCCAUUUGCUGAGAUGGGAAAGACAAAAUGGAGAGUACAGUUAGGAAGAGAAUCCAUUGUUCUGCGGUCGCUCUGUGAAGUUUGAAAUACCUGGGUGAGAGCCAGGCAGAGAUGUCAAAUAGACACUUGAAUAGAUGAGAUGGCAUUGAGGGAUGGGUACAUUUGAGGGAUAAAUUUGAGAGCUCUCAGUGUUUAGAAAUGGUAUUAAAAAUCAAAGGAGGCAGCCCCGGUGGCCCAGCGAUUUAGCUCCUGCCUUCAGCCCAGGGCCUGAUCCUGGAGACCCGGGAUCGAGUCCCGCAUUGGGCUCCCUGCAUGGAGCCUGCUUCUCCGUCUGCCUGUGUCUCUGCCUCUCUCUCUCUCUCUCUCUCUCUCUCUCUGUGUGUGUUCUCUCAUGAAUAAAUAAAUAAAAUCUUUAAAAAAAAAAAGUCAAAGGACCAAGUGUGACGCUUUAAUGAGUGAGUAAGGACAGAGAGGAGAAGCCAGGAAGAACAGAGGAGUCUAAUAAAAGAAGAGCUACCAGCAGAGGAAUGAAAAGCAAUGAGUUGCUAAUGAGAUGGGGGAAGUCCAAGGGAAUGUGACGUGGAGGCCUAACGAAGAAGAGGUACCAGGAAGGAAGGCUCGGGCAAGUAGGUCCAACGCUGUCAAAAAGUGAAAGGAGAACAGAGAAGUCACUUUUCUUUGACCAAGCCCCAUUGGUGACCUUGAUGAGGGUCCUUUCAAUGGAAGGAUGUGGGAGGAAAUCCUGUCAGAAUGGCCUGCAAGAGAAAGAGUUGAAGAGGUGUAGGUGUAGGAUCCCUGGGUGGCUCAGUGGUUUAGCGUCGCCUUCAGCCUUAGAGCAUGAUCCUGGAGUCCCGGGAUCAAGUCCCGCAUCAGGAUCCCUGCAUGGAGCCUGCUUCUCCCUCUGCCUGUGUCUCUGCCUCUCUCUCUCUCUCUCUCUCUGUCUGUGU